rnacentral:rRNA from 1 species
UAGGGAAUCUUCCGCAAUGGACGAAAGUCUGACGGAGCAACGCCGCGUGAGUGAAGAAGGAUUUCGGUUCGUAAAACUCUGUUGUUAGGGAAGAAAAAAUGUAUAGUAACUAUAUACAAAAGAGACGGUACCUAACCAGAAAGCCACGGCUAACUACGUGCCAGCAGCCGCGGUAAUACGUAGGUGGCAAGCGUUGUCCGGAAUUAUUGGGCGUAAAGCGCGCGCAGGUGGUUUAGAAAGUCUGAUGUGAAAGCCCACGGCUCAACCAUGGAGGGUCAUUUGAAACUAAUAAACUUGAGUGCAGGAGAGAAAAGUGGAAUUCCUAGUGUAGCGGUGAAAUGCGUAGGGAUUAGGAGGAACAACGGUGGCGAAAGCGGCUUUUUGGCCUGCAACUGACACUGAGGCGCGAAAGCGUGGGGAGCAAACAGG